CUCUCUCCCGAGGAGGCAGCGCAGAUUUUGAGCCGCUCUAGCCGCACGUAGGGAACCUUGGGCUCACUAGUGGAGGGGCCACGGCGAGAAUGAUACCCCUGGGUCUCGGAGAGCCUCCUCUGCCCUCCACCCCACCCCAAGGCAGGUGCCUCUGUUGCCCCCCGCAACUGAAUGCUGCUCGAGUGCCCCUCAGCCCCCACCGUCCAGGGCCCCUGGUCCACCCUGCCACCAGCUCUGCCCCGGUCCAUCAGCCCUGGGAGCCCGCGCUCGGAGACGGGGGGCCCCCGAAGAGGAAGGACUGCACGUGGUGCAAGAGCCACGCUGUGCUCCCACAACCAGCCCCAACCCCCACGCGCCACCCCACUCCCGGGUCUGGGGCUCCAAGGUAGGUCACAGGGGAUGCUCGCCUCCUGGGCCCACCGCCCAGGACACCAAGUUGGAGGGGAGGAGAGGGAGGCUGGGCCAAGACGCUGUUACCUGAGGCUCUGGUUCCCCUUUGGGUCUGGCUCCAGGGCUCCGUGUUCCAAGUUCUCACCCUCUGAGGCAAAGGACAAGCAAAUACAUCAAUACGUCACCACACCCUACCCCCCACAGCUUCUACUCGUCCCUGCCACUCAUCCUUCAGCCACACACCUGUCACAGCACGUAGUCACCCACAGAAGUAACCAUCCUGCCACAGCUCCCUCCUGAGGGAGAGAGGCCACUUUCUUCUAAGAAGACAGACACAGGGGGUCCCACAGGGUCGCUUCCGCUCCAUAAAAACGGGAGGGAGCUCAGAAGGCUCACUCAACCCCUGAGCUCACGGACACUGUCUGAGAUAACGCCGAGGCGCGAGGAGCCCCAGUCCUGGGCAACGGGGUCGGUUCCAGACCAACCCCAGCACCACCAGCUCUGGACUGAGGGCUCGGCUGGAGGGAAGGCUCUGCGGCCCCACUCCGGCCGCCAAGACACGCUAAGCCAGAGGCCCAGAACCUCGGAGCGGCUGUAUCUCACCACGACCCAGGCGGGACGACCCCCAAUCCCUUCUCAGUUCUAACCGCCUGGUGACCUACGGAGACGAGGCCGGAGAGCAUGAUAAACAGAAGCGAGAGACACACACAACCCUGCGCGGAUUCCACUUCCCUCCCCGGGCCGAGAGAGGCUUGAUGGAGGGAGAUGCUGAGCAGACUGGCUCUCGAGACGACCUUCAGGGAUGUUUACAUGGGAUGUUCCUGCCCUUUUUUUAAGACUCAAGAUAUAAAAAUGUGAUAUCUUUUAAAAAUCAAAGGAGAGACAAGGAAUAAAUCUAAGCUUCCAAAAUCA